rnacentral:rRNA from 1 species
CAGAGACUGCAAGCGUUAUUCGGAUUCACUGGGCGUAAAGGGUGCGCAGGCGGUUGGGUGUGUCAGAUGUGAAAUCCCGAGGCUCAACCUCGGAACUGCGUCUGAAACUACUCGACUAGAGUACUGGAGAGGGCAACGGAAUUCACGGUGUAGCAGUGAAAUGCGUAGAUAUCGUGAGGAACACCAGAGGCGAAGGCGGUUACCUGGACAGUUACUGACGCUCAGGCACGAAAGCAUGGGGAGCAAAAGGGAUUAGAUACCCCUGUAGUCCAUGCCCUAAACGGUGCACACUAGGUCUUAGCGGAUUCGACCCCACUAGGGCCCAAGCUAACGCGUUAAGUGUGCCGCCUGAGGACUACGGUCGCAAGACUA